AACUUUUACAACGGAUCUCUUGGCUCUCGCAUCGAUGAAGAACGCAGCGAAUGCGAUAAGUAAUGUGAAUUGCAGAAUUCAGUGAAUCAUCGAAUCUUUGGACGCACCUUGCGCUCCUUGGUAUUCCGAGGAGCAAGCCUGUUUGAGGUCA
rnacentral:rRNA from 1 species